rnacentral:snRNA from 1 species
UCACUUCAGCAGUACAUAUAUUAAAACUGAAAUGAUACAGACGAUUAGCAUGUCCCCAAUGCAAGGAUGACACGAAAAUUCGUACUGCAUUCUAUAUUUUU